rnacentral:rRNA from 1 species
AAGGGGGCUAGCGUUGUUCGGAAUUCCUGGGCGUAAAUCGUGCGCAUGCUGCCAUCCAAGUCAGUGGUGAAAGCCCGGAGCUCAACUCCGGAAUUGCCAUUGAAACUGUUCGGCUCGAGUACGAGAGAGGUGAGUGGAAUUCCCAGUGUAGAGGUGAAAUUCGUAGAUAUUGGGAAGAACACCGGUGGCGAAGGCGGCUCACUGGCUCGUAACUGACGCUCAUGCACGACAGCGUGGGGAUCAAACAGG